GUGUGAGGAGGGGCCCUACUGUUUAUGAAAAUGACAUACAUGCUCCAAAUCAAAGUUCUGCUGUGCAGCCGGGGCAACAUCCUCAGAGAGCCUUCAGAGCCGUUCCCGAGCCAACAAGAAGUCAUCCUUCGGAUGCAAAACCAUACUACGUCAACCAGGCGGAGCUCUCCAUUCCAGUAAAUGCUGGCAAAAAACGGA